rnacentral:lncRNA from 10 species
ACACCUCCCAAAAUGCAGAGAAGGCAGGGUGGCUAGGAAUGGCUCUAGUAGAAUUCUCCCCUUAUCUUGUCUGGAAACAAGGGGCAAAGAGCUAUCUAUUUCCUCCUGCCAGCCUCCUGCCCCCAACAGGAUUCCUCACAUCCCAGGACCAGCUGGAAAAGGUGGUGAGAGUUGGAAAGAGACUGCUCAGUGAGGACUGCCCUGCGAACCAGCUUGGAUUCAUCCCGUUCACCUCCACGUUCUGCACUCGGGGCCGAGGGAAGGGAGGCAGCCCAGGCAGCUAGAGAACUUGAUGAAACACACUCAAUCUGAAUCUCGCUUGAUCGUCAUGCUGACCCAGUGAGGCCACUCCUCGACUUUUCAGCUCCCGCACGAUUCCUGAAGCAGGAAAAGAAACAGUUCUGUGAGUCUACUCAGGGUCAGGCAUCCUUUCCGACUACUCACUCAGCAGCGGAUCCCCACCCGCCUCUGACUCCCAGUGUCUUUCGGCUCCAACGUAAGUUCACCGAACGUCUAAGAGCUGAGGAUUCAAAGGCAUGUAAGACCGCCCCUGCCCUCAGCUGCAAGACCUGUCCGCGAUCCUACGAGCCCCAUUCCGCCCUCUUUCCCCGACCUUGGUCCCCCAUGGGCCCUACAACCAGGUCCCCGACUGACACCUUGACCAGCGAACACAGCAAACAGGCCCGCAGAUGCCGCAGGUCCUUCGGCACCGUCUCCAGGGCCAUCUUCGCCGAUGGGAAGAACAACAGGGAGAUAGACGACCACAGCCUGUGCACCCGCAGGAAGUAAAUAGCUCGUUACCCAGAAUGCCCACCACUUCCGGCGCUUAGACUUCCUCUUCCGGUGUGGGCGGACGCCAGCUCCGCCCCUACCCCCGCCAGAGGAGAUGGUUUCUCCCGCCAGCAGGCGGGGAGGCUGGGCGGCCGGCCGCCACCUGGGCCGGAGCGCGUCGCAGCCACCUGAGCCCGCCGAGGGCGCGGCGGAGGCUGUGUGGGGUAGUCAGCGGGCCCCCGGGGCGGGGGGGCGGCUGCGCUUGCGCGGGAGUGUGUCGGGCUGAGCCGCAGCGCCGAGACGCGGGCUGUUUGAUCUGGGCUGGUGGCCCUGGGCGUCGGUCCUGUUCCCCGAUGGUAACCCGAAGUUUGUUUUUUUUUGUUUUGUCUCCCCGUUUUAGAAGCAUUGGGGGCAGUGAAUCCACUGUCUCCCUCUGGAUUGUCUCUGCAGAGACCGAGAAGAAAUCCAGGGACAGCCCCACCCCUCCUUCCUAACUGCGAGAGCGCUAUAGGGUUUCCACUUGCUUCCCACAGGAAUGCUGGCCUGGGAGCUACGGCGGAAAAAAAUGCGUAUUUAUCUUUUAAAACUCCGUCUGUUUGCUCGUUCCGGCUGAUAAUUUAUACUUUGCGCAGUUCUUAGCGCUUAGACACGGUUCCUUUACUAAAGACCAUUUGUAGGAGAUUAGGUGUCCUUUUUUUCCCUUUCAUUUCACCGUCUAGGAAGCGAAAUGCCUUGUUCUAUAGGCACUAAACCACCACCCCUACCAAACCUUUCUCGGGGAAGCAGAAGGGGAACUUGUGCCUUGUGAGGAAGCGACAAAGGCCCCUUCUGGCCCUGGAGACUUCACGCCAAUGGAGCACCAGCUCUCUGUCCUCGCAAUAGCCCGAGUGCAGGCAGAACGCAGUCAUUUGUGUUUAUCUGAGAGGAGCUUUGGGAUAUAAAUAGUUUCAGGCCCCGCUGCGCUGUCAUUCCAGCCCAGCCUCCUGAUUGAGCUGCUUCCGGGCGGGCUUUCUUCUUGUUGGCGGUCCCAUGCUGUGUUCAGAUGGGCUCUGUGACAGGUUUGGAUGUUUUCUAUCACUGAAUAAAACUUUCCACUUUGGAACAUAUUUUCUACACUCUAUUAUCUCAUGUAAGUCCUGCAACAACUAUUAAGUAGGCCCAUUUUAUGGACUGAAAAAGCGAGGCACAGAGUAUUUGCCCAAGGUCUGAGUCACUGAAGUAUGAUAAUGUGUGAAGUGAACAGUAUAAUAAUAAUGACUGAAGCACAGUAAGAAUCCAGUCAUGCUUUCUCCUUCCCUGAUCUCACUAAGCCACACUUUUAGGGGCUUACAAACCAGUUCUUAUUGCCAAGCCCUCUACUCUACCCUAUCCUUUCAUGAAUCGGAGCCUAGCCUCUGAUAACAUAAAUAAUUUACUUCUCUUGAUGUAGAAAGAGAUGACGUUGUUACCCUGAGUGACAGUCACGACAGAACAAAACCACAAGACCAGACCACAUUUGUGGAUAAAUAUAUUAGCAAAUAAAUAUAUUUCUUAACAUA